UUUCCGUAGGUGAACCUGCGGAAGGAUCAUUAAAGAGUAAGGGGCUUCGAGCCCGCUCUCAAACCCUUUGUUUAACUACCAUGUUGCUUUGGCGGGCCCGUCUCACGACCGCCGGAAGUUUGGCUUCGACCAAACUUCUGGCCCGUGCACGUCAGUGGCCCCUUCAAAUUCUUGAUCCAGUAUGAUGUCUUAGUUAACAACUUAAUAGUUAAAACUUUCAACAACGGAUCUCUUGGUUCUG
rnacentral:misc_RNA from 1 species